rnacentral:rRNA from 1 species
GCCGGAGGAAGGUGAGGAUGAUGUCAAGUCAGCAUGACCUUUAUAUCCAGGGCUACACACACGCUACAAUGGUCUGUACAAUUGGUUGCCAAGCCGCGAGGCGGAGCCAAUCCGUAAAGCAGGCCUCAGUUCAGAUUGCAGUCUGCAACUCGACUGCAUGAAGCCGGAGUUGCUAGUAACCGCAGGUCAGCAAUACUGCGGUGAAUACGUUCCCGGGUCUU